UCUCCCCCGGUGGACCUAGCAUGCUGGGC
rnacentral:piRNA from 1 species